rnacentral:rRNA from 1 species
UCGACCUUAGUUGCCAGCAUUCAGUUGGGCACUCUAAGGUGACUGCCGGCUAAAAGUCGGAGGAAGGUGGGGAUGACGUCAAAUCAUCAUGCCCCUUAUGACCUGGGCUACACACGUGCUACAAUGGGCGGUACAAAGGGUCGCGAACCCGCGAGGGGGAGCCAAUCCCAAAAAAGCCGCUCUCAGUUCGGAUUGCAGGCUGCAACUCGCCUGCAUGAAGCCGGAAUCGCUAGUAAUCGCGGAUCAGCAUGCCCGCGGUCGAAUACGUUCCCGGGCCUU